rnacentral:rRNA from 1 species
UAGUGCAAUGGUAUAAGCAAGCUUAACUGCGAGACAGACAAGUCGAGCAGGUACGAAAGUAGGUCAUAGUGAUCCGGUGGUUCUGAAUGGAAGGGCCAUCGCUCAACGGAUAAAAGGUACUCCGGGGAUAACAGGCUGAUACCGCCCAAGAGUUCAUAUCGACGGCGGUGUUUGGCACCUCGAUGUCGGCUCAUCACAUCCUGGGGCUGAAGUAGGUCCCAAGGGUAUGGCUGUUCGCCAUUUAAAGUGGUACGCGAGCUGGGUUUAGAACGUCGUGAGACAGUUCGGUCCCUAUCUGCCGUGGGCGUAGGAGAAUUGGUUGGGGCUGCUCCUAGUACGAGAGGACCGGAGUGGACGCACCACUGGUGUUCCGGUUGUGUCGCCAGACGCAUUGCCGGGUAGCUAAGUGCGGAAGAGAUAAGUGCUGAAAGCAUCUAAGCACGAAACUUGCCAAGAGAUGAGUUCUCCCAAUCUAAGAGAUGUAAGGGUUGUUGUAGACUACGACGUAGAUAGGUCUGGUGUGUAAGUGUAGUGAUACAUUGAGCUAACAGAUACUAAUUGCCCGAGAGGCUUAACUAUACAACGCUCAAG